UACGAAGGGAGCUAGCGUUGUUCGGAAUCACUGGGCGUAAAGCGCACGUAGGCGGAUUUGUCAGUCAGGGGUGAAAUCCCGGGGCUCAACCUCGGAACUGCCUUUGAUACAGCAAGUCUUGAGUUCGAGAGAGGUGGGUGGAAUUCCUAGUGUAGAGGUGAAAUUCGUAGAUAUUAGGAAGAACACCGGUGGCGAAGGCGGCCCACUGGCUCGAUACUGACGCUGAGGUGCGAAAGCGUGGGGAGCAACAGGGAUUAAGAAACCCUUGG
rnacentral:rRNA from 1 species